CCUACGCGUGGCAGCAGUGAGGAAUAUUGGUCAAUGGGCGCGAGCCUGAACCAGCCAAGUAGCGUGAAGGAUGACUGUCCUACGGGUUGUAAACUUCUUUUAUAAAGGACUAAAGUGAGGCACGUGUGCCUUUUUGUAUUUACUUUAUGAAUAAGGAUCGGCUAACUCCGUGCCAGGAGCCGCGGUAAUACGGAGGAUCCGAGCGUUAUCCGGAUUUAUUUGGUUUAAAGGGAGCGUAGAUGGAGUGUUAAGUCAGUUGUGAAAGUUUGCGGCUCAACCGUAAUAUUGCAGUUGAUACUGGCAGUCUUGAGUACAGUAGAGGGAGGCGGAAUUCGUGGUGUAGCGGUGAAAUGCUUAGAUAUCACGAAGAACUCCGAUUGCGAAGGCAGCCUACUAAACUGCCACUGACAUUGAUGCUCGAAAGUGGGGGUAUCAAACAGGAUUAGAUACCCCAGUAGUC
rnacentral:rRNA from 1 species